GUACACGCUGUGACUAGCAUAUCAAUAAGCGGAGGAAAAGAAACUAACAAGGAUUCCCUUAGUAACGGCGAGUGAAGCGGGAAGAGCUCAAAUUUGAAAUCUUCAAGGUUUUACCUUGACGAAUUGUAGUUUAAAGAAGUGUUUUCUGCUGAAGUUUUGGUAAAAGUUCUUUGGAAUAGGACAUCAUAGAGGGUGAGAAUCCCGUAUUUGACCAUUAUUUUCAGCUUUGUGAUACACUUUCAAAGAGUCGGAUUGUUUGGGAAUGCAGUCCAAAAUGGGUGGUAAAUUUCAUCUAAAGCUAAAUAUUGGCGAGAGACCGAUAGCGAACAAGUACCGUGAGGGAAAGAUGAAAAGAACUUUGAAAAGAGAGUUAAAUAGUACGUGAAAUUGUCAAAAGGGAAGCGUUUGACACCAGUGUUGUUUUUCUGAAAAUCAAUUAAAGAACUGUUUAUGCUAAGUUGUUUAGACUUUAUCAGCUAUCUGUUUAGUUUUAGGCUUUUCUUUAAUGCACUUUUCAGUUAACAAGUCAACAUCAAUUUCUUUUGCUGUAGAAAAGCUUGAGGAAGGUGGCUUGAGAUUCGUCUUAAGUGUUUAUAGCCUCUUGCCUAUGCAGUCGGAGAGAUUGAGGUCUGCAGCGUAGAUCCUUCGGGGCUAAAUGCAUUUGUGCUAAGUUAUAGCAUUUUAUAGACAACUUGUUGACUAUGAUUUGUCUUGUAGCUUACUCGCUUAUGUUAUUUUACCUACGCUUAGGAUGUUGACGCAUGAGAUAUACGC
rnacentral:rRNA from 1 species